rnacentral:rRNA from 1 species
UUGCAGAGGAUGCUUUUGGUGAGGUGCCUUCCAAGUUCCCUAGAACGGGACGCCAGAGAGGGUGAGAGCCCCGUACAGUUGGACACCAAGCCUUUGUAAAGCUCCUUCGACGAGUCGAGUAGUUUGGGAAUGCUGCUCAAAAUGGGAGGUAUAUUUCUUCUAAAGCUAAAUACCGGCCAGAGACCGAUAGCGCACAAGUAGAGUGAUCGAAAGAUGAAAAGCACUUUGAAAAGAGGGUUAAACAGCACGUGAAAUUGUUAAAAGGGAAGCGCUUGUGACCAGACUUGCGUCCGGUGAAUCACCCAGCUCUCGCGGCUGGGGCACUUCGCCGGCUCAGGCCAGCAUCAGCUCGCUGUCGGGGACAAAAGCUUCAGGAACGUAGCUCUCUUCGGGGAGUGUUAUAGCCUGUUGCAUAAUACCCUUCGGCGGGCUGAGGUACGCGCUCCGCAAGGAUGCUGGCAUAAUGGNCAUCAGCGACCCGUCUUGAA